rnacentral:rRNA from 1 species
CAGUCGCCGCGGGAAUACGAAGGGGGCUAGCGUUGUUCGGAAUUACUGGGCGUAAAGCGCACGUAGGCGGAUAUUUAAGUCAGGGGUGAAAUCCCAGAGCUCAACUCUGGAACUGCCUUUGAUACUGGGUAUCUUGAGUAUGGAAGAGGUGAGUGGAAUUCCGAGUGUAGAGGUGAAAUUCGUAGAUAUUCGGAGGAACACCAGUGGCGAAGGCGGCUCACUGGUCCAUUACUGACGCUGAGGUGCGAAAGCGUGGGGAGCAAACAGGAUUAGAGACCCCCGUAGUCCCUGUCUCUUAUAC